CCUAAAGCGUCCGUAGCCGGCCUAGCAAGUCUCUGGUUAAACUUCAGGGCUUAACCUUGAGAUUGCUGGAGAUACUGCUAGGCUAGGGGGCGGGAGAGGUUGAGGGUACUUCACGGGUAGGGGCGAAAUCCUAUAAUCCGUGAAGGACCACCAGUGGCGAAGGCGCUCAACUGGAACGCGCCCGGCGGUGAGGGACGAAAGCCAGGGGAGCAAAGGGGAUUAGAUACCCCCGUAGUCCUGGCUGUAAACGAUGCGGGCUAGGUGUUGGGUUGGCUUCGUGCCAACUCGGUGCCGCAGUGAAGGCGAUAAGCCCGCCGCCUGGGAAGUACGGCUGCAAGGCUGAAACUUAGAGGAAUUGGCGGGGGAGCACGGGGCGGGGGCGGCGGGCCGGGCGCGGGGCGCGGCGGGCG
rnacentral:rRNA from 1 species